rnacentral:lncRNA from 1 species
AAUGCAUGCUUCCAAAUACUUGUGGCUUUCAGAGGACCCCAAGCUUGUACCUCUAAACCACUUCUUGUGUCCUAAAGAUGUAACGUUUGCCUCAUGCACUUGGCUGCUGCUUGAAUUCCUUAAGAAUUUCAAGCAUUCAGAGCAUGGGUCAGUAUUCUCUGACCUGGGUACCGACUAGGACCAGGAAAACUCUGGCCCAGUCAAGGCCAGCAUGGCCAAACAAAUCCAAAAGAUCAUAGGAUACUAUUAGUUGAUUUCCA